rnacentral:rRNA from 1 species
UACGAAGGGGGCUAGCGUUGCUCGGAAUCACUGGGCGUAAAGGGUGCGUAGGCGGGUCUUUAAGUCAGGGGUGAAAUCCUGGAGCUCAACUCCAGAACUGCCUUUGAUACUGAGGAUCUUGAGUUCGGGAGAGGUGAGUGGAACUGUGAGUGUAGAGGUGAAAUUCGUAGAUAUUCGCAAGAACACCAGUGGCGAAGGCGGCUCACUGGCCCGAUACUGACGCUGAGGCACGAAAGCGUGGGGAGCAAACGGG